CAGUCGCCGCGGUAAUACGUAGGGUGCAAGCGUUAAUCGGAAUUACUGGGCGUAAAGCGUGCGCAGGCGGUUAUAUAAGACAGAUGUGAAAUCCCCGGGCUCAACCUGGGAACUGCAUUUGUGACUGUAUAGCUAGAGUACGGCAGAGGGGGAUGGAAUUCCGCGUGUAGCAGUGAAAUGCGUAGAUAUGCGGAGGAACACCGAUGGCGAAGGCAAUCCCCUGGGCCUGUACUGACUCUCAUGCACGAAAGCGUGGGGAGCAAACAGGAUUAGAUACCCGUGUAGUCCCUGUCUCUUAUAC
rnacentral:rRNA from 1 species